GGGUCAGUAGGUUGGUCGUGCCACCGGUACGUACUGGUCUCACUGAUUCCUCCUUCCUGAAGAACCGUUAUGCCAUUAAUUUGGUGUUGCGGGGAAACAGGACUGUUACUUUGAAAAAAUUGGAGUGUUUAAAGCAAGCUAACGCUUGAAUACAUUAGCAUGGAAUAAUGAAAUAGGACGAUCGAUCCUAUUUUGUUGGUUUCUAGGAUUGACGUA
rnacentral:rRNA from 1 species